rnacentral:rRNA from 1 species
CCUACGGGGGGCAGCAGUGAGGAAUAUUGGUCAAUGGACGAGAGUCUGAACCAGCCAAGUCGCGUGAAGGAUGACUGCUCUAUGGGUUGUAAACUUCUUUUAUAAAGGAGUAAAACGAGACACGUGUGCCUUUUUGCAAGUACUUUAUGAAUAAGGAUCGGCUAACUCCGUGCCAGCAGCCGCGGUAAUACGGAGGAUCCGAGCGUUAUCCGGAUUUAUUGGGUUUAAAGGGUGCGAAGGCGGGCCUUUAAGUCGGAGGUGAAAUCGCGGGGCUCAACCCCGCCGUGCCGUCGGAACUGGGGGGCUUGAGAGCAGCGGAGGUAUGCGGAAUGCGCGGUGUAGCGGUGAAAUGCAUAGAGAUCGCGCAGAACCCCGAUUGCGAAGGCAGCUUGCCGUGCUACCACUGACGUUGAGGCACGAAAGCGCGGGGAUCGAACAGGAUUAGAUAUCCCAGUAGUC